UACGUAGGGGGCGAGCGUUAUCCGGAAUUACUGGGCGUAAAGCGCACGCAGGCGGUUCGCCAAGUUUGGAGUGACAGUUGUCGGCUCAACCGACAAAGGACUUCAAAAACUGGUGAACUUGAGGACGAGAGAGGAACAUGGAACUCCAGGUGUAGUAGUGAAAUGCGUAGAUAUCUGGAAGAACACCAAUAGCGAAGGCAAUGUUCUGGCUCGUUUCUGACGCUCAGGUGCGAAAGCCAGGGGAGCGAACGGG
rnacentral:rRNA from 1 species